UACGAAGGGGGCUAGCGUUGCUCGGAAUCACUGGGCGUAAAGGGCGCGUAGGCGGACUUUUUAAGUCAGGGGUGAAAUCCUGAGGCUCAACCUCAGAACUGCCUUUGAUACUGAGGGUCUCGAGACCGGUAGAGGUAAGUGGAACUGCGAGUGUAGAGGUGAAAUUCGUAGAUAUUCGCAAGAACACCAGUGGCGAAGGCGGCUUACUGGACCGGUUCUGACGCUGAGGCGCGAAAGCGUGGGGAGCGAACAGG
rnacentral:rRNA from 1 species